rnacentral:snRNA from 12 species
GGAUGUGAGGGCGAUCUGGCUGCGACAUCUGUCACCCCAUUGAUCGCCAGGGUUGAUUCGGCUGAUCUGGCUGGCUAGGCGGGUGUCCCCUUCCUCCCUCACCGCUCCAUGUGCGUCCCUCCCGAAGCUGCGCGCUCGGUCGAAGAGGACGACCAUCCCCGAUAGAGGAGGACCGUUCUUCGGUCAAGGGUAUACGAGUAGCUGCGCUCCCCUGCUAGAACCUCCAAACAAGCUCUCAAGGUCCAUUUGUAGGAGAACGUAGGGUAGUCAAGCUUCCAAGACUCCAGACACAUCCAAAUGAGGCGCUGCACGUGGCAGUCUGCCUUUCUUU